GGCAGCUUUGUUUACCUACUCACAGCUUGGCAAUGGCAGGCGCCCCUCCCCCAGCCUGGCUGCCGCCUUGCAGUUUGAUCUCAGACUGCCCUGCUAGCAAUCAGCGAGACUCCGUGGGCGUAGGACCCUCCGAGCCAGGUGCGGGAUAUAGUCUCCUGGUGCGCCGUUUCCUAAGCCCGUCGGAAAAGUGCAGUAUUAGGUUGGGAGUGACCAGAUUUUCCAGGUGCCGUCUGUCACCCCUUUCCUUGACCAGGAAAGGGAACUCCCUGACCCCUUGCACUUCCUGAGUGAGGCAAUGCCUCGCCCUGCUUGGGCUCAUGCACAGUGCGCGGCACCCACUGUCCUGCGCCCACUGUCUGGCACUCCCUAGUGAGAUGAACCUGGUACCUCAGAGGGAAAUGCAGAAAUCACCCAUCUUCUGUGUCACUCACGCUGGGAGCUGUAGACCGGAGCUGUUCCUAUUCGGCCAUCUUGGCUCCCUUAAACUGAUCCUCUUAAACACAGAGCCAAGAAGAUUGAUACAUGACUGGAGCCUGAAUGGUAGAACUUUUUCAGAAGUGAGGAGUCUGUUGGCCCAGAAGAUCUGCGCAUUUUUUUCAAAGAGACUCUAGAGUCUAAAAUGAACAACCAAUCAAUUCUACAAACAUUGCAUCAUGAGGAGUUGCUGCACCUCUUCUCCAGGAUUUGCAAAACGUGUAGUCCAAAUCGAGUUCGGCUAGAACUGGUCUGUCAUCAAGAUAUGGCUCAUGAAAGAGAUUGGUGUUUAGGAGGCUGGGAAAAGGAAAUAUUUUGAGAGACUUCAUGUGCUCCGCACAUGGAGGUGGCUUCCUUUUGCCUCAGGUGAAGGGAGCUUCAACAAGAUCACUCAGAGUUUGAUCAAUGAUCUUAGAAUUUGCAGAACAUAGGGACUGCCAUUUGACUCACCCUUUAGAAGUCAGGAGGAAAGGUUACGUGGCUGGCACUUCUCAUGUCUGGGAAGGAACAACUGUGAAGUGCUGACCUAGACGAAUGUUGCACUUCCGCUGAUGAGUAGGCAAUGGCGAAUGUUUUCCAGGGUCCAAAUGUGGACCCGGCAACAGAGAGGCUGUCUGUAAUCACUUUAUAAGAGACACUAACAACAAUGACCACUGGGACUAAAGAGAGCACAACGGAAGUAGUUCUGCCAGAAGGGCUGAGGAGAGGGCUGAGCAACCACCCUCAGGGGAGGCAGACCCACAUCAAAGACAUCUCAGCAGUCCCUUUCCCAUGAAAGAAAGAGCUAGAAAUUGUCCAUUUGACACACACACAAACCAGAUCCCAGAUUGCAAUUGAUUCAGAUAAUGAAAAGCUUGUUCUUUUCACUUGCUGUUCUAGCCUAACCAUGUAGGUGUCAGAAGCAGUUGUAGGCUAGGAGAGAAGUCGGAGCAAUACAGAAGCCAGUUCUGCCUUUGCCUCAAGAUCCACUGUCCACUCAGAGGCAGGCUGGCACAUGGGGGAUGAGAACAUUCCAAGAAAGAUGUGAAUCUGGAAUUUUCAUUUAUGCAGUAGAUGGGGAUUUACUACUGAAAGGAACAUGUUUUGGCAACUAAUAGUGACCAAAAGAAUUUGUACUUACUAAAAAUUAUCUUAAAAGCAUGGGAUUACCCUAGCAUUUUGUUUCAGAAACUGAAAUUAACAGAAAACUAUAAAAUUACUUUCUGCCUGAAACCUAAGAAGGUGAACUCAUGCCAGAAACCAGUUACAUUCACAAUUACCUGGAUUUUGUUAUUUCCUACAAUGAAUAAAACUUAUUAUAAAGCAGAAAAGC
rnacentral:lncRNA from 1 species